UCCCCCUUGACUAUGGUCUGAGACACUAAGGAGGCCCAUCCUGUAGUUAAAGGAGCAUUUGCCUAUAUAUCUGAGAGCUUAGGACUCAUGGUCUACCUGGGUCAGGCCUCUAGAAAAGUAGCAGUAGGAAUAAGCCUGAAUGAGUAGGAAGAGACUGAGUCCCAGGACUUGCUUAAUUCAGAUGCCAAACCAUGUUCUAAGGGGGUCUGGAAGGAGGAUUGUCAAUGUGAAGGCCUUUUAUUGAAAGAGAAGUAAUCACACCAAAAAAGUCGCUACCCUUUGACUAUUUCCCAUGUCUCACCAUUUUGCUUUUAAGCUGUGUCUGAUGUCUUUUCAUCCUUAAAAUUUUUGAAAAGAUGCCCCCACUUUUGAGAAUGAACUACUGUUGCCCCAACAUAAACAUACCAAGUAGACUUUCAUCUGACAUAACGGCUCUGUGCCUGUUCAACGCAAAGAACCACCUUAGAAAGCCUCAGUAAGCCCUGCUUAGGUAUGGAGGUCGAGGCCUUAGGCCAGCGGAACCUUAAAAGCCGGGCUGAGGCGGAAGGGAGGCCGGACGGAAGGCAGACUUCCCAAACUACGCCAGGUGCAAGACUUCCGCCCCGCAGAGACCUUGCCUCCACCCCCACCCUCCCCGUCAGCCCAGAUCUGGUUCCGCGCAGUCUCCUGGAAUGAUUUGCCGUCUCUAUGGCAACCCGGUAGCUGGCUUCUGAAGAUGGAGACCACUGAGUCUACCGAGGGAUCACAGUCGCGAUCUUUAGACGUACAGCCCAGCUCCGAAGGACUAGGGUCCAUUUCGGAUCCCUUUCCUUCUUGGGAUGGCUGUCAUAGGUCAGCCCUGGAAGCUGCAACCGCAGAAACUUCAGCAGCUGCUGCAGCCACUGCAGCCGCCUCCACUACCAAAGCAGCUGCAUUAUCUACAAAGACCCCAGCGCCCUACUCUGAACGGAGCCUUCUCAUGGAGCCCUCCUCUGAAAGUCUUCUUGGGGAGCGCUACACUGGACCCAGAUUUACCCACAAGAUAGGCCACGGGAGACUUGGCUUUGAGCCUGUCUCUGUUUCCCAUAUUGCUUGGAAUCCCUAUACUGCAAAUGACCUUAGCUCUAGCCAUGGUCCUGUUCCUGGCUCCAGCUCUGGCCCUGUUCCUGGCUCCAGCUCUGGCCCUGUUCCUGGCUCCAGCUCUGGCCCUGUUCCUGGCUCCAGCUCUAGCCCUGGUCUUGGCUUCAGCUCUGACCCUGGUCCUGGCUCCAGUUCUGGUCCUGGCAGUGGCUCUGGUCAAGGUCCUGGUGACGGCUCUGGUCGAGGCACUGGUCCUGCUCCUGCCGCUGAUUCUAGGCAUAGGCCAGGCUCUGGCCAGGGCCCUGGUUUCAGCUCCUCUGCUCCUUCAGGCUUCAGAAAACCCAGGGCAGAUCUGCUCCCUAAUUAUGCCUCCUGGAGUCACCACAGCCACUGGGAGCCUCAGAAACAACCCUGGAAAUUUUUGCAAGUCUCAGAACCUGGUGCCCGAGGGCUGUGGAAGCCCCCUGAGGUUGAAGGGACAAGUAAGGUUCUCAGUGAAACACUGCCACGGGGCCAGUGCCUUCUCUACAACUGGGAGGAGGAGAGAGCCACCAACCACCUGGAUCAAGUCCCAAGCAUGCAGGAUGGCUCUGAGAGUUUCUUUUUCCGACACGGACACCGGGGACUGCUGACCCUGGAGCCACAGUCACCCAUGUGCUCCAGCACCACCCAGAAAGACUCAUACCAGCCCCCAGGAAACCACUCUCAGCCAAUUCGAGGGAAGCGUGAAGCCAUGCUGGAGAUGCUCUUGCACCACCAGAUCUGCCUCACGACUACCAUAAGGAACAGCCUGAAACCUUCUGGCUACAGAGGGCACCACAGCUACAGCACCUGGCGAAUACUCUACAAAUGUCUGCUGAAUGGACACCCUGUCUGCAACAGGACACGGUCAAAUAGCCUCUGCUGUCAGGAAAUGGGAAGCAAGACAACAGGGCUGCCCUGAAGAGCACAGAAGCUGGUGGGGACGUCAACGAGGCCCAAUGAAAUGAGCCUCAGACAGCCUGAAGGGUCAAAGGGGACAUGGGUUCGAGCCCUGAUCCAGGAAGGUCCCACAUGCCGGGAAGCAACUAAGCCCGUGCGCCACAACUACUGAGCCUGUGCUCUAGAGCCCGCGAGCCACAACUACUGAAGCCCGCGCGCCUAGAGCCCGUGCUCCGCAACAAGAGAAGCCAGCACAAUGAGAAGCCUGUGCACCGCAACAAAGAGCAGCCCCCGCUCACCACAACUAGAGAAAGCCCGCGUGCAACAAAGACCCAACGCAGCUAAAAAUAAAAUAAAUAAAUUUAUUUUUUUAAAAAAG